rnacentral:lncRNA from 1 species
AAACGUCAUCAUUUCAUGUGGUCAUUACGUUUUUCGCAUCCAAUGUAAAUAAAAUGUCUUCAACACAUGAACUAAAAGAUGGUAAAUUGUUUAAGUUGAAAUAUGUGUAAAGGAAACUGGUAUUUUAUCAGUUUUUUGCCAACCUAUUAUUUAUUACUGCAACUUAUCACCGGAUUAUACAUUAUGAUACUUUAACAAAAGCUGUAAAUGAAGAUGGUCUAGUGAAAAACCUGUCUGGUCAUGUUAUUGUUAUUUGAUAUAACGAUAAACUGUUUACUUUAACAAUCAUUUCUACAAACAAGACAUAAAUUCCGAAUAGUUUCCAAAACAUAUUAUAUAAAAGAAUAUUUUCCCAUGAACAAAACUGACUAGAACUAUCUAUUUAUAAAUAACAUGAUAAAUUGUUGUCUAAUGUUGAGGGGUGAUGGGACCUUUAUCGGGACUCCAGGAUCAGGUGUUUGUAAGCUUGGGAUUUCGGGAUUGACCGUUUUGGGAUAUGGGAAUAUUUAUUUUUUUCGGAUUUCAGGACGUCGUGAUUUUCUUUAUUUAAAUUCCGGACUUCAGGUUUUCGUGUUUUUAAGACCAGGAUUUCAGGAUCAGGACCCCUCCUAUCCCCCCUACAUGUUGAAUCUGUUCACCAAAACAUUUUGCUUUCAUGUCGAUCCGUCCCCUCAGUCUGUCCAUUCCAGAAUUUAAGAUACAUACUGCGUAUUGUAUCAAAUCUUUUGUGGUUUAAUCAAUGCAUACAGGACUUUUUUGUUAGACUGAAUGUCAUUUUCUUUUCCCCUUAAUCUUUUUAUGAAAAUCCAACGAUUCAUCUUUAAAAAAUUGUUACCCCUCCACAAAACUUAACUGUCAGUGGCUUAUAAUCUAUAACCUUAAUCCUCCUAAUAAUAAAAUGCUAUUUUAUAUUUAGAGAACCUACUUUUAUAUAGAACAUACAUGUAAUACAAAGAUUUCAUAAUUAUAGCGAAAAAUGGGGGAAAAAAAUAUAUUUAGUAGCACAAUCAUGGUUUAAAGAUUUCAUAAUUAUCGGAAAAUAUUUUAUUUCCUCAUUUUUUUCACUAUAAUCAUGAUAAUUAUAAAAUCUUCAGUUGACUGUGAUAUGUCAUUGUGUUAUGUUCUUUCAAAUGUAGGUAUGUAGUAUAUAUUUAUAUAUAUUAUACAUACAUAUAGUUUUCUUGUUUUGAUUAUAAGAGGGUAUGAAUAGUUUAGCAUGAAUGAGAGUAUGAAUUUGGUUUACAGAUAAGACAAUGAUGGUCAAAUAAAUGAGGAUUAAAAAAAAAUAUAUAUAUAUAUACAAUGUAUAUAUGAAAAACAGAUUGAAGGUGUGAUUAAAUCCUCGAAUUUUAAUAUAUUAAAAUUGAUCACUUAUUAAAAAUGGGUAGGAUGGAUGUGUGACAAAAUGAAUUGGGAUGGAUCAACUCAUUCAACUUGGGACAGGAAUAACCAGAUACCAAACAUUCAUUUCAUUUCAUGUUCACUUUUAUUCACGUUCCCAUAUUGCUAUGAAAUAAAGAUAUAAAGGUCCAAGUUGUAAAAUAAAUUGAUUGACAAUUUGCCUCAAAAGGUAAACCGGUUUCCCGUGUAAAGUCAAGUUUAUAGUGUUUUGUUGAUUUUUUUUUAUGAAAUAAAUAUUGUCAUGACAAUUACAGGCAUAUGUUCAAUCAUUUAUUUUAGAAUCAUAAAAAAUAGGCUGAAUAUAUCAAAAUAUCUAUCAAAUUCAUCACAAUGACAUUUGCACAGCAACUAUAUUAUAAAUAACCAUAUAAAGGUGUUGUAUUCCAUCUACAUGUAUAAGUUCCUCAAUUAUAUGUCAUGUACAUGUAUAAUGCAGAGUCACAAGUCAUUAAAAGUUGGUAAUAUGAUAGUCUAAGAUAUGUGUAUGCCUGCAACAUUUUGCAAUACCAUGUAUGGAAUCAGAUUAUUUUUGGUUAAAGAUUGCAUGAAAUGCAAUCAAAACCCUAUUGUACUGGCUUCAUAUUUAAAUCUUCCCAGAUUUAUCUGAAUAUCACUACCUUUGAUAUGAACAGAAUAUAGUGCAUUGAUCAUAACAUUACAUCUUAUCCAUGAACAUAUCCAGAAAUUUUUAUCAAUGUCAACUUUAAAAAUUGGAGUUAUCUUCCUUUGUCCAGAAUUCUUGUUGAUUCAACUAUAACUGGUCAGUGUUUUCCCACUGAUGAAUUUUAGCAAUCUUAACCCUUCAGUGCUUACAAGCACUUUGAUUCUAUUUAAAUAUUAUAUGUUUAUUUUCUUUACAGUCAUUAAAGAUACAUUAGAGAAUAAAGGCACACUGGGACAGAUAAAAGCCAGGAUAAGAGCUGAGGUGUUCAAUGCACUAAAUGACGAAAGUGAAAAUAAACCUCAACUUAGCAAUGAAAAUUUGAUUAUAAAUGAACUCAUCAGAGAGUACCUAGAUUUUAACAAGUACA